UUCGUCAUGGCGGCUGGGCCCGGGCCUGGCUAGGGAUCCGGGAUCAGCGGUGGGAGCCGAAGGCGGGGGGAACCCAGCUCUCGCUGGACACUUCCCGAUCCCGGCCGCAGCGACUGGUCUUCUAUGCACAAGGAAUGUGCCAGCCUUUGGGAACUCAGAGAAGAAAGAUACACGCUCUGUUCCUAAUAAGUUUAAGAUUUAGUGGACAAGGUGCUUGAUAAAUACUUGUUUCGUGAAUGAUGGAUCGUGACCUUGUGGAGCUAGGAUGUGGAGUUCACGAAGGAGAACAGCAGGUUAGGCUGAAAGGUUCGGGUGGCCUCUCAUCCUCCCUCGGUCAUCUGCCUGUGAAAGCGAGCUUUUUCAAAAGGGCCUGUGAUGCUUCUGCUUCCAGACCACCCGGGAACUCUGGCAGUUGGAAGAGAGCAGACAAGGCCUUUCACACUCUAACGGCAGCUUCACCGCAGACUCACUCUGCACCCCAGCCCAACAGCCCUGCCUCUGGCAAGCCACACGGAACGCCUUGUGGAAGCACGCCCUGACUUUUCACUCUCUGCACUUUUUUCUGCUCUUCUUAUUACACUGCGAUUUUUUUCCCCUUUAUAUCUUGGAUCUCCAGUUCAGAAGAUUGAACUAUUCACACUGCACAGUUCAUGACAUACUGUGAUAGUUGGCACCUCCAAAGUCCUCCACGUGUCCUUUGUCUCUCUGCAUUACCUUCGUCCCUCCUCCCAUUUCUCUUACCCCGCCACCUUACUAGUAUAUUUAAAUGUUAUGCUUUUUUAUGUCACUCUAAAAUAUGUAUUUGUGUGUGUGUAUGUUUAAUUUACAUAAAUGGUAUUGUGUUA